UACGGAGGGUGCGAGCGUUAAUCGGAAUUACUGGGCGUAAAGGGUGCGUAGGCGGUUUAUUAAGUUAGCUGUGAAAUACCUGGGCUUAACCUGGGCAGGUCAGCUAAGACUGGCAGACUGGAGUAUGGGAGAGGGUAGUGGAAUUUACGGUGUAGCAGUGAAAUGCGUAGAGAUCGUAAGGAAGACCAGUGGCGAAGGCGGGUCUCUGGACAGUUCCUGACACUGAGGCACGAAGGCCAGGGGAGCAAACGGG
rnacentral:rRNA from 1 species